UACGAGGGGAGCAAGCGUUGUUCGGAUUUACUGGGCGUAAAGGGCGCGUAGGCGGUCGUGACAAGUCACUUGUGAAAUCUCCGGGCUUAACUCGGAACGGUCAAGUGAUACUGUCGGACUAGAGUACAGAAGGGGCAACUGGAAUUCUCGGUGUAGCGGUGAAAUGCGUAGAUAUCGGAAGGAACACCUGUGGCGAAAGCGGCUCACUGGACCACAAGUGACGCUGAUGCGCGAAAGCUAGGGGAGCAAACAGG
rnacentral:rRNA from 1 species